rnacentral:misc_RNA from 1 species
GAUGAAGAACGUAGCGAAAUGCGAUAAGUAGUGUGAAUUGCAGAAUUCAGUGAAUCAUCGAAUCUUUGAACGCACAUUGCGGCCAUAGGUAUUCCUUUGGCCAUGCCUGUUCGAGCGUCAUUUACACCCUCAAGCCUAGCUUGGUGUUGGGCGUCUGUCCCGCCGUUUUCGCGCGCGGACUCGCCUCAAAGUCAUUGGCGGCGGUCGUGCCGGCCCCCUCGCGCAGCACAUUUGCGCUUCUCGGAGGCCCGGCGGAUCCGCGCUCCAGCAAGACCUUUCACGACUUGACCUCGGAUCAGGUAGGGAUACCCGCUGAACUUAAGCAUAUCAACAAGCGGAGGA